rnacentral:rRNA from 1 species
UAGGACGAACGCUGGCGGCGUGCCUAACACAUGCAAGUCGAACGGGGAUUUGUUUCGGCAGAAUCCUAGUGGCGAACGGGUGAGUAACGCGUAGGCAACCUGCCCUCCGGCCGGGGACAACACUCCGAAAGGGGUGCUAAUACCGGAUACGAAGUCUGUGCCGCAUGGUACGGAUUUGAAAGAUGGCCUCUAUUUAUAAGCUAUCGCCGGGGGAUGGGCCUGCGUCCGAUUAGCUGGUUGGUGGGGUAACGGCCUACCAAGGCGACGAUCGGUAGCCGGUCUGAGAGGAUGAACGGCCACAUUGGGACUGAGACACGGCCCAGACUCCUACGGGAGGCAGCAGUGGGGAAUCUUCCGCAAUGGGCGCAAGCCUGACGGAGCAACGCCGCGUGAGUGAGGAAGUUCUUCGGAACGUAAAGCUCUGUUGUUCCUGACGAACCUCCCCUCUAUCAACAACGGAGGGGACUGACGGCAGGGAACGAGGAAGCCACGGCUAACUACGUGCCAGCCGCAGC